UAGGGAAUCUUCGGCAAUGGACGAAAGUCUGACCGAGCAACGCCGCGUGAGUGAAGAAGGUUUUCGGAUCGUAAAACUCUGUUGUUAGAGAAGAACAAGGACGUUAGUAACUGAACGUCCCCUGACGGUAUCUAACCAAAAAGCCACGGCUAACUACGUGCCAGCAGCCGCGGUAAUACGUAGGUGGCAAGCGUUGUCCGGAUUUAUUGGGCGUAAAGCGAGCGCAGGCGGUUUCUUAAGUCUGAUGUGAAAGCCCCCGGCUCAACCGGGGAGGGUCAUUGGAAACUGGGAGACUUGAGUGCAGAAGAGGAGAGUGGAAUUCCAUGUGUAGCGGUGAAAUGCGUAGAUAUAUGGAGGAACACCAGUGGCGAAGGCGGCUCUCUGGUCUGUAACUGACGCUGAGGCUCGAAAGCGUGGGGAGCAAACAGG
rnacentral:rRNA from 1 species